CCUACGGGAGACAGCAGUGGGGGAUAUUGCACAAUGGGGGAAACCCUGAUGCAGCGACGCCGCGUGUGGGAAGACGGUCCUCUGGAUUGUAAACCACUGUCCCCAGGGACGAAGAUGACGGUACCUGGGGAGGAAGCUCCGGCUAACUACGUGCCAGCAGCCGCGGUAAUACGUAGGGAGCGAGCGUUGUCCGGAAUUACUGGGUGAAAGGGGAGCGUAGGCGGGACUGCAAGUUGGGUGUCAAAUCUACCGGCUCAACCGGUAGCCGCACUCAAAACUGGAGUUCUUGAGUGAAGUAGAGGCAGGCGGAAUUCCUAGUGUAGCGGUGAAAUGCGUAGAUAUUAGGAGGAACACCAGUGGCGAAGGCGGCCUGCUGGGCUUUUACUGACGCUGAGGCUCGAAAGUGUGGGGAGCAAACAGGAUUAGAUACCCCUGUAGUC
rnacentral:rRNA from 1 species